rnacentral:rRNA from 1 species
UACGUAGGGGGCUAGCGUUGUCCGGAAUCAUUGGGCGUAAAGCGCGUGUAGGCGGCCCGAUAAGUCCGCUGUGAAAGUCCAGGGCUCAACCCUGGGAUGCCGGUGGAUACUGUCGGGCUCGAGUCCGGAAGAGGAGAGUGGAAUUCCUGGUGUAGCGGUGAAAUGCGCAGAUAUCAGGAAGAACACCUAUGGCGAAGGCAGCUCUCUGGGACGGUACUGACGCUGAGACGCGAAAGCGUGGGGAGCGAACAGG